GAUGAACGCUGGCGGCGUGCCUAAUACAUGCAAGUCGAGCGAACGGACGAGAAGCUUGCUUCUCUGAUGUUAGCGGCGGACGGGUGAGUAACACGUGGAUAACCUACCUAUAAGACUGGGAUAACUUCGGGAAACCGGAGCUAAUACCGGAUAAUAUUUUGAACCGCAUGGUUCAAAAGUGAAAGACGGUCUUGCUGUCACUUAUAGAUGGAUCCGCGCUGCAUUAGCUAGUUGGUAAGGUAACGGCUUACCAAGGCAACGAUGCAUAGCCGACCUGAGAGGGUGAUCGGCCACACUGGAACUGAGACACGGUCCAGACUCCUACGGGAGGCAGCAGUAGGGAAUCUUCCGCAAUGGGCGAAAGCCUGACGGAGCAACGCCGCGUGAGUGAUGAAGGUCUUCGGAUCGUAAAACUCUGUUAUUAGGGAAGAACAUAUGUGUAAGUAACUGUGCACAUCUUGACGGUACCUAAUCAGAAAGCCACGGCUAACUACGUGCCAGCAGCCGCGGUAAUACGUAGGUGGCAAGCGUUAUCCGGAAUUAUUGGGCGUAAAGCGCGCGUAGGCGGUUUUUUAAGUCUGAUGUGAAAGCCCACGGCUCAACCGUGGAGGGUCAUUGGAAACUGGAAAACUUGAGUGCAGAAGAGGAAAGUGGAAUUCCAUGUGUAGCGGUGAAAUGCGCAGAGAUGUGGAGGAACACCAGUGGCGAAGGCGACUUUCUGGUCUGUAACUGACGCUGAUGUGCGAAAGCGUGGGGAUCAAACAGGAUUAGAUACCCUGGUAGUCCACGCCGUAAACGAUGAGUGCUAAGUGUUAGGGGGUUUCCGCCCCUUAGUGCUGCAGCUAACGCAUUAAGCACUCCGCCUGGGGAGUACGACCGCAAGGUUGAAACUCAAAGGAAUUGACGGGGACCCGCACAAGCGGUGGAGCAUGUGGUUUAAUUCGAAGCAACGCGAAGAACCUUACCAAAUCUUGACAUCCUUUGACAACUCUAGAGAUAGAGCCUUCCCCUUCGGGGGACAAAGUGACAGGUGGUGCAUGGUUGUCGUCAGCUCGUGUCGUGAGAUGUUGGGUUAAGUCCCGCAACGAGCGCAACCCUUAAGCUUAGUUGCCAUCAUUAAGUUGGGCACUCUAAGUUGACUGCCGGUGACAAACCGGAGGAAGGUGGGGAUGACGUCAAAUCAUCAUGCCCCUUAUGAUUUGGGCUACACACGUGCUACAAUGGACAAUACAAAGGGCAGCGAAACCGCGAGGUCAAGCAAAUCCCAUAAAGUUGUUCUCAGUUCGGAUUGUAGUCUGCAACUCGACUACAUGAAGCUGGAAUCGCUAGUAAUCGUAGAUCAGCAUGCUACGGUGAAUACGUUCCCGGGUCU
rnacentral:rRNA from 1 species